UUUCUCAUUUUUUGGACCCAGCAGUGGAAUAUCCUCUGCUGGUCUACUAACCAUAUGAGUUCCCGUGAUUCCAGAACUUAGGCAAUUGUGCUUCUGAAUUUAAGUUAUCGAUCUCAACAUCUGAAUUUGGUUGUGUUUGUGAUCUUAAAUUGGUUUCAACCUGAUUUGAAUUUCCAAUGUCACCUUUUAAAGGACUGCUAUUUCCUUCUGCAAAAGGUUCGCUAGCUGUUUUUCAAAACUUGACAGAUGCAAGCACAACCUGUCAUCUCCUUGAUCACAUUGAGCAUCUCUAUCAAUCAUAUAGAAUGACUCAUCCACUGACAUAGAUGAAUGUACUAAUUGUCCAUUACCAGGGUCAGCAUCAAUGUUUUGUUUCAAAGUUGGUAAUAUUAGGCUUGUGUGUGACCUUUUCAGACUCUGAUGCAGUAGAUGUUUCUCUCUUUUUCUUGGCUGAAUUUAUAUCAGUUGUUCGAAGUAGCUUAAUCGGGGACUCAAUGUUUGUUUCAAAGUUAAGCUAGCAAGCGAACCUUUUGCAGAAGGAAUUAGCAGUCCUUUAAAAGGUGACGUUGGAAAUUCUAAUCAUGUUGAAACCAAUUUUAAGACCACAAACACAACCAAAUUUAGAUGUUGAGAUCGAUAACUUAAAUUCAGAAGCAUUGUUGCCAAAGUUUGAGGCUGGAAUCACGGGAACUCAUAUGGUUAGUAGAUCAGCAGAGGAUAUUCCACUUGGUGGUUCCAAAAGAUGAGAAAUCCAAAGAAGCAUCUCAGAUUGCUAGGGAAACAAGACUGGUCAAGAAAGAAUUUGAGGAAACAACAGCAGAGGCAUUUUGUCCUGUUAGACAGAUAAGUGGAGAAAAGGCAACAAAUGGCAACAAAAAAGUCAUCAAAAGUUAGCCUGCUAAUUCAGGAAACACACCACCCCUUCAUGCAAUCAGCUAUGCAUGUCAUCUAGAGGUCGAGGGUCGAGAUUUCAGGUA